rnacentral:rRNA from 1 species
CACGUAGGGGGCGAGCGUUGUCCGGAAUCAUUGGGCGUAAAGAGCUCGUAGGCGGCUCAGUAAGUCGGGUGUGAAACCCUCAGGCUCAACCUGGGGACGCCACCCGAUACUGCUGUGGCUAGAGUCCAGUAGGGGAGUGUGGAAUUCCCGGUGUAGCGGUGAAAUGCGUAGAUAUCUGAAGGAACAUCAGUGGCGAAAGCGACUUCCUGGACCAAUACUGACGCUCAUGUGCGAAAGCGUGGGGAGCAAACAGG